UACGAAGGGGGCUAGCGUUGCUCGGAAUCACUGGGCGUAAAGCGCACGUAGGCGGCUUUCUAAGUCAGGGGUGAAAUCCUGGAGCUCAACUCCAGAACUGCCUUUGAUACUGGGAAGCUCGAGUCCGGAAGAGGUGAGUGGAACUCCGAGUGUAGAGGUGAAAUUCGUAGAUAUUCGGAAGAACACCAGUGGCGAAGGCGGCUCACUGGACUGGUAUUGACGCUGAGGUGCGAAAGCGUGGGGAGCAAACAGG
rnacentral:rRNA from 1 species